rnacentral:tRNA from 1 species
GGGGACUUAGCUCAGUGGUAGAGCACUUGCCUAGCAAGUGAAAGGCCUAGCAAGCAAAAGGCCCUGGGUUCGGUCCCCAGCUCCG